ACUGAAAACAGCGCACUCUUGAUGAACUGUAAUUGAAUUACACUAACAAUGAACGCUAGCGAUUCAUUACUUGAAUUAGAGAGAUUUCUCUCGUUUUAGUUUCAUCUCUGGUGCGCAUUGUUUCGUGAUAAGGCUCGUUCACAAGACGAUUGUGUACGACAAAUGGAGGAAUGCGAAAAUAGCACAAGGAACGAAAAUACCAGGGACGACCGAUAACUUAUUGGGCGAGGAAAGAGCUGCAAAUAUCUUGCAAGUUAGUAUUACUACUGUGAGUCCUAGAAGUUCUUAGAAACCCAUCAAGGAAGAGGUUAUUGAAAUUGGCUUUCAUCAAAAUUUUUCUAGAAGAGUACUGACAAAAUGUACGGAACUUAUUAAAUGUAUUCGCCAUUUUCAAUUCCGAAGGUAGCUGAUUUUUUGGCGCUGAAGAUGAUGGAAUUUUUUAACAGAUCAGAAGUGGGAAGUGAAUAAAGUUAAGUAAAGGCAUUCUCACAAAUAAAGUCAGGAAGUGAAAAAUUUGCCAUGGAAUAUCACCUUUUUUCAAUAUCAGUUCGCCUGCGAACAUCAAAAUCACCAUGGUGUUAUUUGACGUGUAAGUGGUAGCUUUGCCUUCUUGAAGCAAAGUCCUGGAGUUCACUAAUCAUUAACUUCCAAGUUAUGGUGCCUCUGCUAGUACACCCUCAUUAUUGUCCUCAGUCCUUACAGCUCUUUAACAUCCUAUUUUUUAAGGUUUAAACGUUGAAAUAUUAUCUUCAAAACGCUUUAACAAUAUUUUAAUUAAAUUAGAACUUGACGCUUCACUAAUUCGCCGUAGUAAAUAUUCAGAACAUGUCCCAGGAGUACCUGGCCUGUCCUAGAGAUAGCGCUAGCUGCUUGAAAAAUACCAGAAAGUAGAAAGUACACAAUCUAUACAGCAUAUGUUCCAAGUUUGAAGACGCCACGUUGUUAAAUUUUUGGUAUGGCAGUCAUCAAUACUAAACGUUUUCAAUGAGUUUGUAAACAUGGAAAAAAUUAGGUUAGGUAAGGUUAGUUAUGUGAUACAAUUCUUUUAUUUGAAAGGCGAUAGCCCAACCAAUAUAAAAACUGAACUAGAUUCUACUCUGGAUGAUUCAUGUAAAAAUUUUUAAAUUCAUAGGAUUAAAAAUUCAAUAUUCAAAGUGACGUUGAUUGAAAUAUUGAAUUUAUACAAAUUAAGCCACCACAAAUAUCAAUUAAUUAUUUCCCAAACAAUGAAUACAUAAGUAUUCGAAAGCUCGGAAAAUAUAUUAAAUUUAGUCUA